rnacentral:rRNA from 1 species
CAAAGGAAUUGACGGGGAGCACCACGAACGGGUGGAGCUUGUCGGUUUAAUUGGAUUCAACGCCGGAAGUCUUACCGGGACCGACAGCAAUAUGAAGGCCAGGCUGAAGACUUUGCCGGAUUAGCUGAGAGGUGGUGCAUGGCCGUCGUCAGUUCGUACUGUGAAGCAUCCUGUUAAGUCAGGCAACGAGCGAGACCCACGCCCACAGUUGCCAGCGUACUCUCUGGAGUGACGGGUACACUGUGGGACCGCCGCUGCUAAAGCGGAGGAAGGAAUGGGCAACGGUAGGUCAGUAUGCCCCGAAUAUCCCGGGCUACACGCGAGCUACAAUGGUUGGUACAAUGGGUAUCUACCCCGAAAGGGGACGGGAAUCUCCUAAAACCAAUCUUAGUUCGGAUUGAGGGCUGCAACUCGCCCUCAUGAAGCUGGAAUCCGUAGUAAUCGCGUUUCAACAGAACGCGGUGAAUACGUCCCUGCUCCUU